GACGGCGAGGUUAAAAUCUUCCUGCUUUACCUCUUCAACCUCAGUUCUUUCGCCGUUUCUCGAUUAGGGUUUCGGUUUGAUGCUCAAUGGUCCAAUGGAGGAAGUUUUCAGAAAUGCUUUUGGAUGCUCAGAAUUGGAGUGCCUUCUUUGAUCAUUGGACUCGGAAAGUGAAUUCGGAGCAUUGGCUUGAUUUAUCAUCACUAAUAUUUUCGGCUUCAGCUUUCUCCAAUUGUUGUUUUUUGUGAACAGUUUGGUUAUCACAUGAUUUACCUCUCUUUCUUGAUGAUUUUCCUAGCAUUUUUGAAUAUUCAAGAGCUUUAUCAGAAGGUUUGGCCUCCGGUUCAACGCCGGCGAGUCGGUUACUUUGACCUCUUUCCUUCUCUUGGAUUUAUUUGACUGCACUGAAACAUUUUUUGUCCCUGCCUCUUGUAACAUCUCUUGUAACAUUGUCAAGCAAAUUGCUUGGACUGUCCUUGCUUCUUCUGGUAACAUUGUCAAUCAACGUUUUUUGAGUAUCAGUUCCAUGUAUAGUGAAUCCAUUAUCAGUUGAAUUGUUUUGAUUUUGAAUAUCAGUAAAAAAAAAUGCAUUUGAGACAUCUGUAUUAACUUUACAAACUUCAACAGGUACAGGAGGAAUGGCUGCAAUUGAUUUGCCAAAGAAUUCUUCAUAAAGAGAUAUUUGGAGCUUGUUUAGUUCGAAAGCCUUGUCAUCCGAUUGCAAGAGUCUCUGACUGAACUGCGUGAGAUGAAUGGAUGCGGUAACAAGUCUGAUGCAGAAAGUGUUAAAUCCGGUUCCUUGUUAGUUGGUGCUUUCUGGUUCUUGUUUGAUGCAUCAUUUUUGCUGUGCCUCUUUCGCUUUUUGUUGGUCAUUGCCACAAUUCUAAUUUCUUUUUAGGCGAAACUCUGUCAAACUAAUGCUC